AUUCCUUCUAAUGAUGCAUAAGUUUGUUUGUAUGUUUAUGUUAUGUAUAACUCGGUCAAAACAAAACAAUCAUACUAUAAUUAACUUGUGAAAAAAAUGAAACGGAAAAACGACAUUUGAUCCUUGAAAAAUAGAAAAAAAAAAUCGUAGGUAAUCUGUAGUUAAAUACCUACGGAUUGUCUACAGAAUAAGGUAAUCUGUAGGUAUUCCGUACCUAUUACCUACAGAUUACCUACGGUAUUUUAUUUUAUUUUUCAAUUUUCAAAGGUCAAAUAUUAUUUUUUUCGUAUCGUUUUUUUUCACAACUUAACUAUACUUUGAUUGAUUUGUUUUAACCAAUUUAUAUAUAACAUAAACUUACAAACAAACGUAUGCAUCAUUAAAAACCAUUACAUUAUAUAAUAAACAAAAAGCUAUGUAUGUUUGUCUUUAAUCCACAAUUAACAUCAUUAAACAAAUACACGAUAUAAUAAACAUACUACAUACAUAUGGUGUGCAUGUAAAUGGGUGUACUUAUGUCUAUUUGUGUUUAGAAAAUAUCUUUGAUUUAAAAAAAAAAAAAAAAAAAAAAAAAAACUUCUAAAUGUCGAAUAGGUUCUAGUGAUGCAUAAGUUUGUUUAUAAGUUUAUGUUAUGUAUAACUCGGUUAAAACAAAACAAUCAUACUAUAAUUAACUUGUGAAAAAAAUGAAACGGAAAAAACGACAUUUGAUCAUUGUAAAAUAGAAAAAAAAAAACGUAGGUAAUCUGUAGGUAAAUACCUACGGCUUGCCUACAGAAAAAGGUAAUCUAUAGAUAUUCCGUAACUAUUUACCUAUAGAUUACCUACGGUAUUUUUUUUAUUUUUCAAUUUUCAAAGGUUAAAUAUUGUUUUUUUCGUUUCGUUUUUUUCACAACUUAAUUAUUCUCAGAUUGCUUUGUUUUAACCAAUUUAUACAUAACAUAAACUUACAAACAAACGUACGCAUGAUUAAAAACCAUUACCAUAUAAUAAACAAAAAGCUAUGUAUUUUUGUCUUUAAGCAACAAUUAACAUCAUUAAACAAAUAUACAAUAUAAUAAACAUACUACAUACAUAUGGUGUGUAUGUAAAUGUGUGUACUUAUGUCUAUUUGUGUUAAAAAAAUAUCUUUGAUUUAAAAAAAAAAAAAAAAAAAAAAAAAAAAAAAAANAAAAAAUAACUUCUAAAUGACUAAUGGGUUCUAAUGAUGCAUAAGUUUGUUUGUAAGUUUAUGUUAUAUAUAACUCGGUCAAAACAAAACAAUUAUACUAUAAUUAACUUGUGAAAAAAAAUGAAACGGAAAAAACGACAUUUGAUCCAUGAAAAAUAAAAAAAUAAAAAAAAAAAACGUAGGUAAUCUGUAGGUAAAUACCUACGGAUUGCCUACAGAAAAAAGUAAUCUGUAGUUAUUCCGUAGCUAUUUACUUAUAGAUUCCCUAUGGUAUUUUUUUUAUUUUUUAAUUUUCAAAGGUUAAAUAUUGUUAUUUUCGUUUCGUUUUUUUCACAACUUAAUUAUUCUUUGAUUGCUUUGUUUUAACCAAUUUAUAAAUAACAUAAACUUACAAACAAACGUACGCAUCAUUAAAAACCAUUACUAUAUAAUAAACAAAAAACUAUGUAUGUUUGUCUUUAAGCGAGAAUUAACAUCAUUAAACAAAUACAUGAUAUAAUAAACAUACUACAUAUAUAUGGUGUGUAUGUAAAUUUGUGUACUUAUGUCUAUUUGUGUUUAGAAAAUAUCUUUGAUUUAAAAAAAAAAAAAAAACUUCUAAAUGACUAAUGGGUUCUAAUGAUGCAUAAGUUUGUUUGUAAGUUUUUGUUAUGCGUAACUCGGUCAAAACAAAACAAUCAUACUUUAAUUAACUAGUGAAAAAAAUGAAACGGAAAAAACAAAAUUUGAUCCUUGAAAAAUAGAAAAAAGAAACCGUAAGUAAUCUGUAGGUAAAUACCUAAGGAUUGCCUACAGAAAAAGGAAAUUUGUAGGUAUUUCGUAGAUAUUUACCUAAAGAUUACUUGCGGUAUUUUUUUUAUUUUUCAAUUUUCAAAGGUCAAAUAUGGUUUUUUUCGUUUCGUUUUUUUUCACAACUUAAUUAUUCUUUGAUUGCUUUGUUUUAACCAAUUUAUACAUAACAUAAACUUACAAAACAAACGUAUGCAUCAUUAAAAACCAUUACUAUAUAAUAAACAAAAAGCUAUGUAUGUUUGUCUUUAAGCCACAAUUAACAUCAUUNAUUAACAUCAUAAACAAAUACACGAUACAAUAAACAUACUACAUACAUAUGGUGUGUAUGUAAAUGUGUGUACUUAUGUUUAUUUGUGUUUAUAAAAUAUCUGUGAUUUAAAAAAAUAAAAAAAAACUUCUAAAUGACUAAUGGGUUCUAAUGAUGCAUAGGUUUGUUUGUAAGUUUAUGUUAUGUAUAACUCGGUCAAAACAAAACAAUCAUACUAUAAUUCACUUGUGAAAAAAAUGAAACGGAAAAAACGACAUUUGAUUCUUUAAAAAUAUUAUAAAAAAAAAAAAAAAAAAAAAAAAAAAAAAAAAACACACAUNNNNNNNNNNNNNNNNNNNNNNNNNNNNNNNNNNNNNNNNNNNNNNNNNNNNNNNNNNNNNNNNNNNNNNNNNNNNNNNNNNNNNNNNNNNNNNNNNNAUAUUACCUAUAGAUUACCUACGGUAUUUUUUUUAUUUUUCAAUUUUCAAAGGUCAAAUAUUGUUUUUUUUGUUUCGUUUUUUUUUCACAACUUAAUUAUACUUUGAUUGCUUUGUUUUAAACAGCUUAUACAUAACAUAAACUUACAAAACGAACGUAUGCAUCAUUAAAAAUCAUUACUAUAUAAUAAACAAAAAGCUAUGUAUGUUUGUCUUUAAGCCACAAUUUACAUCAUUAAACAAAUACACGAUAUAAUAAACAUAGUACAUACAUAUGGUGUGUAUGUAAAUGUGUGUACUUAUGUCUAUUUGUGUUUAGAAAGUAUCUUUGAUUUAAAAAUAAAAAAAAAACUUCUAAAUGACUAAUUUCUUCUAAUGAUGCAUAAGUUUGUUUGUAAGUUUAUGUUAUGUAUAACUCGGUCAAAACAAAACAAACAUACUAUAAUUAACUUGUGAAAAAAAUGAAACGGAAAAACGACAUUUGAUCAUUGAAAAAUAGAAAAAAAAACGUAGGUAAUCUGUAGUUAAUACCUACGGAUUGCCUACAGAAAAAGGUAAUCUAUAGAUAUUCCGUAACUAUGUACCUAUAGAUUCCCUACGGUAUUUUUUUUAUUUUUCAAUUUUCAAAGGUUAAAUAUUGUUUUUUUCGUUUCGUUUUUUUCACAACUUAAUUAUUCUUUGAUUGCUUUGUUUUAACCAAUUUAUACAUAAGAUAAACUUACAAACAAACGUACGCAUCAUUAAAAACCAUUACUAUAUAAUAAAAAAAAACUAUGUAUGUUUGUCUUUAAGCCACAAUUAACAUCAUUAAACAAAUACAUGAUAUAAUAAACAUACUCCAUACAUAUGGUGUGUAUGUAAAUUUGUGUACUUAUGUCUAUUUGUGUUUGGAAAAUAUCUUUGAUUUAAAAAAAAAAAAACUUCUAAAUGACUAAUGGGUUCUAAUGAUGCAUAAGUUUGUUUGUAAGUUUAUGUUAUGCGUAACUCGGUCAAAACAAAACAAUCAUACUUUAAUUAACUUGUGAAAAAAAUGAAACCGAAAAACGAAAUUUGAUCCUUGAAAAAUAGAAAAAAAAAUUGUAGCUAAUCUGUAGAUAAAUACCUAAGGAUUGCCUACAGAAAAAGGAAAUCUGCAGGUAUUUCGUAGAUAUUACCUACAGAUUACCUACGGUAUUUUUUAUUUUUCAAUUUUUAAAGAUCAAAUAUUGUUUUUUUCGUUUCGUUUUUUUUCAAUACUUAAUUAUUCUUUGAUUGGUUUUGGUUUAACCAAUUUAUACAUAACAUAAACUUACAAAACAAACAUAUGCAUCAGUAAAAACCAUUACAUUAUAUAAUAAACAAAACGCUAUGUAUGUUUAUCUUUAGGCCACAAUUAACAUCAUUAAACAAAUACACGAUAUAAUAAACAUACUACAUACAUAUGGUGUGUAUAUAAAUGUGUGUACUUAUGUGGAUUUGUGUUUAGAAAAUAUCUUUGAUUUAAAAAUAAAAAAAAACUUCUAAAUGACUAAUUUGUUCUAAUGAUGCAUAAGUUUGUUUGUAAGUUUAUGUUAUGUAUAACUCGGUCAAAACAAAACAAUCAUACUAUAAUUAACUUGUGAAAAAAAUGAAACGGAAAAACGACAUUUGAUCCUUCAAAAAUAGAAAAAAAAAUUGGGUGUACUUAUGUCUAUUUGUGUUUAGAAAAUAUCUUUGAUUUAAAAAAAAAAAAAAAAAAAAAACUUCCAAAUGACUAAUAGGUUCUAAUGAUGCAUAAGUUUGUUUGUAAGUUUAUGUUAUGUAUAACUCGGUUAAAACAAAACAAUCAUACUAUUAUUAACUUGUGAACAAAAUGAAACGGGUGUACUUAUGUCUAUUUGUGUUUAGAAAAUAUCUUUGAUUUAAAAAAAAAAAAAAAAAAACUUCCAAAUGACUAAUAGGUUCUAAUGAUGCAUAAGUUUGUUUGUAAGUUUAUGUUAUGUAUAACUCGGUUAAAACAAAACAAUCAUACUAUAAUUAACUUGUGAAAAAAAUGAAACGGAAAAAACAAAAUUUGAUCCUUGAAAAAUAGAAAAAAAAAACGUAGGUAAUAUGUAGGUAAAUACCUACGGUUUGGCUACAGAAAAAGGUAAUUUGUAGGUAUUCCGUAGCUAUUUACCUAUAGAUUACUUACGGUAUUUUUUUUAUUUUUUCUAUUUUCAAAGGUUAAAUAUUGUUUUUUCGUUUCGUUUUUUUUCACAACUUAAUAACUUACAAACAAAGGUACGCAUCAUUAAAAACCAUUACUAUAUAAUAAACAAAAAACUAUGUAUGUUUGUCUUUAAGCCACAAUUAACAUCAUUAACCAAAUACACGAUAUAAUGAACAUACUACAUACAUAUGGUGUGUAUGUAAAUGUGUAUACUUAUGUCUAUUUGUGUUAAGAAAAUACCUUUGAUUUAAAAAAAAAAAAACUUCUAAAUGACUAAUGGGUUCUAAUGAUGCAUAAGUUUAUUUGUAAGUUUAUGUUAUGUAUCACAAAACAAAACAAUCAUACUAUAAUUAACUUGUGAAAAAAAUGAAACGGAAAAAACGACAUUUGAUCCUUGAAAAAUAGAAAAAUAAAAAUAAAAAAAAAACCGUAGGUAAUCUGUAGGUAAAAUACCUACGGAUUGUCUGCAGAAAAAGGUAAUUUGUAGGUAUUCCGUAGCUAUUUACCUACAGAUUACCUACGGUAUUUUUUUUAUUUUUCAAUUUUCAAAGGUCAAAUAUUGUUUUUUUCGUUUCGUUUUUUUUUCACAACUUAAUUAUUCUUUGAUUGCUUUGUUUUAACCAAUUGAUACAUAACAUAAACUUACAAAACAAACGUAUGCAUCAUUAAAAAACCAUUACUAUAUAAUAAACAAAAAGCUAUGUAUGUUUGUCUUUAAGCCACAAUUAACAUCAUUAAACAAAUACACGAUACAAUAAACAUACUACAUACAUAUGGUGUGUAUGUAAAUGUGUGUACUUAUGUUUAUUUGUGUUUAGAAAAUAUCUUUGAUUUAAAAAAAUAAAAAAAAAACUUCUAAAUGACUAAUGGGUUCUAAUGAUGCAUAAGUUUGUUUGUAAGUUUAUGUUAUGUAUAACUCAGUCAAAACAAAACAAUCAUACUAUAAUUCACUUGUGAAAAAAAUGAAACGGAAAAAACGACAUUUGAUUCUUUAAAAAUACUAUAAAAAAAUAAAAAUAAAUAAAAAAAAAAUAAUAAAAAAACGCACGUAAUCUGUAGGUAAAUACAUACGGAUUGCCUACAGAAAAAGGAAAUCUGCAGGUAUUUCAUAUAUAUUACCUAUAGAUUACCUACGGUAUUUUUUUUAUUUUUCAAUUUUCAAAGGUCAAAUAUUGUUUUUUUUGUUUCGUUUUUUUUUCACAACUUAAUUAUACUUUGAUUGCUUUGUUUUAAACAGCUUAUACAUAACAUAAACUUACAAAACGAACGUAUGCAUCAUUAAAAAUCAUUACUAUAUAAUAAACAAAAAGCUAUGUAUGUUUGUCUUUAAGCCACAAUUUACAUCAUUAAACAAAUACACGAUAUAAUAAACAUAGUACAUACAUAUGGUGUGUAUGUAAAUGUGUGUACUUAUGUCUAUUUGUGUUUAGAAAGUAUCUUUGAUUUAAAAAUAAAAAAAAAACUUCUAAAUGACUAAUUUCUUCUAAUGAUGCAUAAGUUUGUUUGUAAGUUUAUGUUAUGUAUAACUCGGUCAAAACAAAACAAACAUACUAUAAUUAACUUGUGAAAAAAAUGAAACGGAAAAACGACAUUUGAUCAUUGAAAAAUAGAAAAAAAAACGUAGGUAAUCUGUAGUUAAUACCUACGGAUUGCCUACAGAAAAAGGUAAUCUAUAGAUAUUCCGUAACUAUGUACCUAUAGAUUCCCUACGGUAUUUUUUUUAUUUUUCAAUUUUCAAAGGUUAAAUAUUGUUUUUUUCGUUUCGUUUUUUUCACAACUUAAUUAUUCUUUGAUUGCUUUGUUUUAACCAAUUUAUACAUAAGAUAAACUUACAAACAAACGUACGCAUCAUUAAAAACCAUUACUAUAUAAUAAAAAAAAACUAUGUAUGUUUGUCUUUAAGCCACAAUUAACAUCAUUAAACAAAUACAUGAUAUAAUAAACAUACUCCAUACAUAUGGUGUGUAUGUAAAUUUGUGUACUUAUGUCUAUUUGUGUUUGGAAAAUAUCUUUGAUUUAAAAAAAAAAAAACUUCUAAAUGACUAAUGGGUUCUAAUGAUGCAUAAGUUUGUUUGUAAGUUUAUGUUAUGCGUAACUCGGUCAAAACAAAACAAUCAUACUUUAAUUAACUUGUGAAAAAAAUGAAACCGAAAAACGAAAUUUGAUCCUUGAAAAAUAGAAAAAAAAAUUGUAGCUAAUCUGUAGAUAAAUACCUAAGGAUUGCCUACAGAAAAAGGAAAUCUGCAGGUAUUUCGUAGAUAUUACCUACAGAUUACCUACGGUAUUUUUUAUUUUUCAAUUUUUAAAGAUCAAAUAUUGUUUUUUUCGUUUCGUUUUUUUUCAAUACUUAAUUAUUCUUUGAUUGGUUUUGGUUUAACCAAUUUAUACAUAACAUAAACUUACAAAACAAACGUAUGCAUCAGUAAAAACCAUUACAUUAUAUAAUAAACAAAACGCUAUGUAUGUUUAUCUUUAGGCCACAAUUAACAUCAUUAAACAAAUACACGAUAUAAUAAACAUACUACAUACAUAUGGUGUGUAUAUAAAUGUGUGUACUUAUGUGGAUUUGUGUUUAGAAAAUAUCUUUGAAUUAAAAAAAAAAAAAAACUUCUAAAUGACUAAUUUGUUCUAAUGAUGCAUAAGUUUGUUUGUAAGUUUAUGUUAUGUAUAACUCGGUCAAAACAAAACAAUCAUACUAUAAUUAACUUGUGAAAAAAAUGAAACGGAAAAACGACAUUUGAUCCUUCAAAAAUAGAAAAAAAAAAUUGGGUGUACUUAUGUCUAUUUGUGUUUAGAAAAUAUCUUUGAUUUAAAAAAAAAAAACUUCUAAAUGACUAAUGGGUUCUAAUGAUGCAUAAGUUUGUUUGUAAGUUUAUGUUAUGUAUAACUCGGUCAAAACAAAACAAUCAUACUAUAAUUAACUUGUGAAAAAAAUGAAACGGAAAAAACGACAUUUGAUCCUUGAAAAAUAGAAAAAAAAAUUGUAGCUAAUCUGUAGAUAAAUACCUAAGGAUUGCCUACAGAAAAAGGAAAUCUGCAGGUAUUUCGUAGAUAUUACCUACAGAUUACCUACGGUAUUUUUUAUUUUUCAAUUUUUAAAGAUCAAAUAUUGUUUUUUUCGUUUCGUUUUUUUUCAAUACUUAAUUAUUCUUUGAUUGGUUUUGGUUUAACCAAUUUAUACAUAACAUAAACUUACAAAACAAACGUAUGCAUCAGUAAAAACCAUUACAUUAUAUAAUAAACAAAACGCUAUGUAUGUUUAUCUUUAGGCCACAAUUAACAUCAUUAAACAAAUACACGAUAUAAUAAACAUACUACAUACAUAUGGUGUGUAUAUAAAUGUGUGUACUUAUGUCUAUUUGUGUUUAGAAAAUAUCUUUGAUUUAAAAAAAAAAAAAAAACUUCUAAAUGACGAAUAGGUUCUAGUGAUGCAUAAGUUUGUUUAUAAGUUUAUGUUAUGUAUAACUCGGUUAAAACAAAACAAUCAUACUAUAAUUAACUUGUGAAAAAAAUGAAACGGAAAAACGACAUUUGAUCCUUGAAAAAUUGAAAAAAAAAGGAGGUAAUCUGUAGGUAAAUACCUACGGAUUGCCUACAGAAAAAGAUGAUCUGUAGGUAUUCCGUAGCUAUUUACCUAUAGAUUACCUACGGUAUUUUUUUUAUUUUUCAAUUUUCAAAGGUUAAAUAUUGUUUUUUUCGUUUCGUUUUUUUACACAACUUAAUUAUUCUUUGAUUGCUUUGUUUUAACCAAUUUAUACAUAACAUAAACUUACAAACAAACGUACGCAUCAUUAAAAACCAUUACUAUAUAAUAAUAAAAAAAAGCUAUGUAUGUUUGUCUUUAAACCACAAUUAACAUCAUUAAACAAAUACACGAUAUAAUAAACAUACUACAUACAUAUGGUGUGUAUGUAAAUGUGUGUACUUUUGUCUAUUUGUGUUUAGAAAAUAUCUUUGAUUUAAAAAAAAAAACUUCUAAAUGACCAAUGGUUUCUAAUGAUGCAUAAGUUUGUUUGUAAGUUUAUGUUAUGUAUAACUCGGUCAAAACAAAACAAUCAUACUAUAAUUAACUUGUGAAAAAAAUGAAACGGAAAAAACAAAAUUUGAUCCUUGAAAAAUAGAAAAAAAAAAAAAAAAAACGUAGGUAAUCUGUAGGUAAAUACCUACGGAUUGCCUACAGAAAAAGGUAAUCUGUAGGUAUUUCGUAGCUAUUUACCUAAAGAUUACAUACAAUAUUUUUUUUAAUUUUUCAAUUUUCAAAGGUUAAAUAUUGUUUUUUUCGUUUCGUUUUUUACACAACUUAAUUAUUCUUUGAUUACUUUGUUUUAACCAAUUUAUACAUAACAUAAACUUACAAACAAACGUACGCAUCAUUAAAUUACUAUAUAAUAAACAAAAAGCUAUCUAUGUUUGUCUUUAAGCCACAAUUAACAUCAUUAAACAAAUACACGAUAUAAUAAACAUACUACACACAUGUCUAUUUGUGUUUAAAAAAUAUCUUUGAUUUAAAAAAAAAAAAAAAAAAACUUCUAAAUGACUAAUGGGUUCUAAUNNNNNNNNNNNNNNNNNNNNNNNNNNNNNNNNNNNNNNNNNNNNNNNNNNNNNNNNNNNNNNNNNNNNNNNNNNNNNNNNNNNNNNNNNNNNNNNNNNNNGAUUGUCUACAGAAUAAGGUAAUUUGUAGGUAUUCCGUACCUAUUUACCUACAGAUUAACAACGGUAUUUUUUUUUUCAAUUUUCAAAGGUCAAAUAUUAUUUUUUUCGUAUCGUUUUUUUUCACAACUUAACUAUACUUUGAUUGAUUUGUUUUAACCAAUUUAUAUAUAACAUAAACUUACAAACAAACGUACGCAUCAUUAAAAACCAUUACUAUAUAAUAAACAAAAAUCUAUGUAUGUUUGUCUUUAAGCCACAAUUAAUAUCAUUAAACAAAUACAUGAUAUAAUAAAC
rnacentral:lncRNA from 1 species